AGGUGGUUAUUGCGGCGGGGCUCACCUCUUCCCAUCCCGAACAGAGAAGUUAAGCCCGCCUGCGCAGAUGGUACUGCAGUUAUGUGGGAGAGUAUGUCGUCGCCUUUC
rnacentral:rRNA from 1 species